GCAAUUACCUGCGUGUUACGUAAAACUUUUAUUAAACGACGGCAGAAAUUCGGUAACGUGUUAAUCAGGGGCUGAGUGACAUCUGCUUCAUGCCCGAGGUUUGGGAGCUGCAGGAGGAGGGGUCGGUGGCUCCCAGUGAUUACCAAAACACAUUGCUCCUUUUUGUGGCCUCCCACGUGUUAAUUUUUACAGAUUUAUCCUCCCGGGCUCCCGUGUCUCGUAUUUUCCCUGCACGUCAACAUCUUCUCCAUCCCUGCCCUUCGCAGCUCCUCGGGCUCUGCCCCACCGAGAUCCGGCUCAGGGCUCAGGCAGUUUGCUGAACUAAUCCAAAGGACAAUUCCCAGGGAAGUCUGGCUCGUUUCUGCCAUCAAAAGGGAUUUUCAGAUGGAUUCAAAGCUAAAAAAACCCGGCGGGUUUAGGGGAAAACGUGGCUGCCAGGGCAAGGCUUGGUCAGGCUGGGGGUGUGAGGAACGGGGUGGAAAAACGUCCUGGAGAGAUGCUCAGAGCAUUCCCAUCCCUGGCUGAGCCUGCACACCUCACUCCCUCCUCAGGGUGAGCCAUGAAAUCCUCUGGGAAUGCUCACCCUCGGAGACCAGGGAGUGCUUUGGGCUGGAAGGGACCUUAAAGCUCCUCUCACUCCUGCCUUUUCCACUCCCCCAGGCUGCUCCAAGCCCUGUCCAGCCCGGCUGCAGGGUGGGUUUGGAGCAUUGGGAAUCCCCACAGAGCUACGACAGAGAAUUUCACCCCAAAGUGACUUCCCAGAAAAUCUUCCUGCAGUUCCUCAUCCAUCAUCAGGGAAAUUCGCUCUUGGCAGCGCCGGCCACUUCCUCAAGCGCAGCCAAGGUGACCACGAAAAUUAGCAUCAAAUCCCAGGGGGUUUUCCAUCAUGGACACGCUGUUUUUCACCAGACACAAACCCUGAGGUGUUUCCCUUUUUAUUUUACAUCCACAGGGAUCAGGUUGUUACUCCAGGCGUUGCUCAGACGGAUUCUCCAAAUGGGAAAGUGGAAUUUUGUGUUUCACAGGAGGAAUUUCCCCCGUCCUCCCCAACUCCAAACGGCUGUGCUGCCCAGACCUCGGAGCAAACUCCAUUUCCACCCUCACUCUUCCAUAUUUUUGCUUCAUGAGGAGUCCUGGAGGAGCAGAUUUCCCUGGCAGAGCCAAGGAAAUCAAAUGUGUGCGUGGUUAAACGGCACCAGGAGCACCCAGGGCCCCCUGCAGCUCCCACCUCUGCCAUUCCCGGGGGAGAGCAGGGAUGCUCUGGGAAAGGGAGGUUUCCAUCCCAACUGAGGUUGGAAAAGAGCUCCAGGACCAUGUGGCUGUGCCUGAUCUCCACCCUUGGCUGGGUGUCACCUCCAGGAAUUCCCGGGACACCUCCAGGGUUGGGGACUCCAAACCUCCCUGGGCACUUCCAGUGCUCCAAAUCCACCCUGGCCCAGCCUGAGGCCGUUCCCUCUCCUCCUGUCCCUGUUCCUGGGAGCACAGCCCGAUUUCCUCGGCUGUCCCCUCCUGGCAGGGACUUGUGCAGAGCCAGAAAUUCCUCCUGCUCCCCAUUUUCUCCAGGCUGAGCCCCUUUCCCAGCUCCCUCCUGUUUGUGGCACGCUCAGGGUUUCCGUGGAGAGCUUUUCCCUGAGUUUGGCUGAGAGGGCAGGGACAGCUCGGGAUGGGGUGGCUGGGGGUGCUUGCACAGCCAGCACAUCCCUUCAGCAGGAAUUCUCCAUGGAAAUUCCAGUCAGACCUUGGAAGGGGCUGCCCAGGGAGGUUUGGAAUCCCCAUCCCUGGAAUUGUCCCAGGAAUUCCUCAGAGCUGGUGACAAGGUGAGGUUCCGGCACUCAGCGACCUCAGAGCUCUUUUCCACCCUAAAAGAUUCUGGGAUUCUCAUCCCCAGGCAAGACUUUGAGAAGUGAAGGCAGGCAGUGCCAGUGGGAGCUGUAAUUAAUUAAGGUUAAUUAAUUAAGUGCUAUUAAAGUUGGAAUAUCAUCCAGGGACGCUCACCAGGGCAGAGCCUGAGGAAUUCUGAGCUUGGAGGGACUGGGGGCAAUCCCUGAGGCUGGGGAAGGCUCUCAGGAUUUGCUCCAUGGCUCUGCAGCAUCCUCAUCCUCCUCAUCCUCCUCAUCCUCCUCAUCCUCCUCAUCCUCAUCCUCCUCCUCAUCCUCCUCAUCCUCCUCAUCCUCCUCGUCCUCCUCAUCCUCCUCAUCCUCCUCAUCCUCCUCAUCUUCCUCAUCCUCCUCAUCCUCCUCAUCCUCCUCAUCCUCCUCAUCCUCCUCAUCUUCCUCAUCCUCAUCCUCCUCCUCAUCCUCCUCAUCCUCCUCAUCCUUCAGGAAUAAAAUAGAAUCAAAGCGGGAAUCCCA
rnacentral:lncRNA from 1 species